GAAUAAAAAACACGGUCUGGUUGGUAGUCCAGGCGCGGCUAAAAGGCCGUCAGUAACCUGCCUCCUUGGUUGUCCCUAUUUUGUUAGU
rnacentral:ncRNA from 1 species